GAAGCAACAAAUGCCCUGCUUCCAGGAAAAGCCUCUAAGCAUCAGGUAACACGAAAUCGUACCCCAAACCGACACAGGUGGUCAGGUAGAGAAUACCAAGGCGCUUGAGAGAACUCGGGUGAAGGAACUAGGCAAAAUGGUGCCGUAACUUCGGGAGAAGGCACGCUGACACGUAGGUGAAGUGAUUUACUCAUGGAGCUGAAGUCAGUCGAAGAUACCAGCUGGCUGCAACUGUUUAUUAAAAACACAGCACUGUGCAAACACGAAAGUGGACGUAUACGGUGUGACGCCUGCCCGGUGCCGGAAGGUUAAUUGAUGGGGUCAGCGUAAGCGAAGCUCCUGAUCGAAGCCCCGGUAAACGGCGGCCGUAACUAUAACGGUCCUAAGGUAGCGAAAUUCCUUGUCGGGUAAGUUCCGACCUGCACGAAUGGCGUAAUGAUGGCCAGGCUGUCUCCACCCGAGACUCAGUGAAAUUGAACUCGCUGUGAAGAUGCAGUGUACCCGCGGCAAGACGGAAAGACCCCGUGAACCUUUACUAUAGCUUGACACUGAACAUUGAGCCUUGAUGUGUAGGAUAGGUGGGAGGCUUUGAAGUGUGGACGCCAGUCUGCAUGGAGCCGACCUUGAAAUACCACCCUUUAAUGUUUGAUGUUCUAACGUGGACCCGUAAUCCGGGUUGCGGACAGUGUCUGGUGGGUAGUUUGACUGGGGCGGUCUCCUCCUAAAGAGUAACGGAGGAGCACGAAGGUUGGCUAAUCCUGGUCGGACAUCAGGAGGUUAGUGCAAUGGCAUAAGCCAGCUUGACUGCGAGCGUGACGGCGCGAGCAGGUGCGAAAGCAGGUCAUAGUGAUCCGGUGGUUCUGAAUGGAAGGGCCAUCGCUCAACGGAUAAAAGGUACUCCGGGGAUAACAGGCUGAUACCGCCCAAGAGUUCAUAUCGACGGCGGUGUUUGGCACCUCGAUGUCGGCUCAUCACAUCCUGGGGCUGAAGUAGGUCCCAAGGGUAUGGCUGUUCGCCAUUUAAAGUGGUACGCGAGCUGGGUUUAGAACGUCGUGAGACAGUUCGGUCCCUAUCUGCCGUGGGCGCUGGAGAACUGAGGGGGGCUGCUCCUAGUACGAGAGGACCGGAGUGGACGCAUCACUGGUGUUCGGGUUGUCAUGCCAAUGGCACUGCCCGGUAGCUAAAUGCGGAAGAGAUAAGUGCUGAAAGCAUCUAAGCACGAAACUUGCCCCGA
rnacentral:rRNA from 1 species